GCCCGCGUGGCCUAGUGGGUAGCGCAGUUGUUUCGGAAACUGACAUCGCGGGUUCGAACCCCGUUGGGGUCA